rnacentral:rRNA from 1 species
UACGAAGGUCCCAAGCGUUAUCCGGAUUUAUUGGGUUUAAAGGGUGCGUAGGCGGGCUAUUAAGUCAGUGGUGAAAGCCCAAGCUUAACUUGGGAACUGCCAUUGAUACUGAUGGUCUUGAGUACAUUUGAGGUGGGCGGAAUGUGUCAUGUAGCGGUGAAAUGCUUAGAUAUGACACAGAACACCGAUUGCGAAGGCAGCUUGCUACACUGUUAUUGACACUGAGGCACGAAAGCGUGGGGAUCAAACAGG